UACAGAGGCCUCGAGCGUUAGGCGGAAUCACUGGGCUUAAAGCGUGUGUAGGCGGACUUCUAAGUACCUUGUGAAAUCCCACGGCUCACCCGUGGAACUGCUCGGUAUACUGGUCGUCUUGAGCCUUCUAGGGGCGAGUGGAACAAAUGGUGGAGCGGUGAAAUGCGUAGAUAUCAUUUGUAACGCCAAUGGUGAAAACAACUCGCUGGGGAAGUGCUGACGCUGAGACACGAAAGCCAGGGGAGCGAACGGG
rnacentral:rRNA from 1 species